CUUGCCUGAACCCUCCUCCCUCAUUCUGAGCCACUCCAUGGAGGGCCUGGAACCCUUCUGGAAGGACAGGUGGCCACUAUUGCCACUGAGCCUGUGCAGGGUAGUUGGGAGAAAGGCCAUUUCCUUGGAACUGCUAAGAAUGGCCAGUGUCCCUGAUUCCCCACCCUUGUCUCUGGCCACUCUGUCCUACCCUCAGGCCCAUGAAACACACUGGUUCUGGAUUUGGCCUCUGCUGUGAAGUGGCAGGGAACAGAAGCCAGCUAGGGCCAGUGGGGAGGUUGUCUCUACCAUGAGAUUUUUAUAAACCC
rnacentral:lncRNA from 1 species